ACAUGCAAGUCGAGCGGACUGAUGGGAGCUUGCUCCCUGAUGUUAGCGGCGGACGGGUGAGUAACACGUGGGCAACCUACCUGUAAGACUGGGAUAACUCCGGGAAACCGGGGCUAAUACCGGAUAACCCGUUCCUCCUCAUGGAGGGACGGUAAAAGAUGGCUUCUUGCUAUCACUGACAGAUGGGCCCGCGGCGCAUUAGCUAGUUGGUAAGGUAAUGGCUUACCAAGGCGACGAUGCGUAGCCGACCUGAGAGGGUGAUCGGCCACACUGGGACUGAGACACGGCCCAGACUCCUACGGGAGGCAGCAGUAGGGAAUCUUCCGCAAUGGACGAAAGUCUGACGGAGCAACGCCGCGUGAGUGAUGAAGGUUUUCGGAUCGUAAAGCUCUGUUGUUAGGGAAGAACAAGUGCCGUUCGAAUAGGGCGGCACCUUGACGGUACCUAACCAGAAAGCCACGGCUAACUACGUGCCAGCAGCCGCGGUAAUACGUAGGUGGCAAGCGUUGUCCGGAAUUAUUGGGCGUAAAGCGCGCGCAGGCGGUCUUUUAAGUCUGAUGUGAAAGCCCACGGCUCAACCGUGGAGGGUCAUUGGAAACUGGGAGACUUGAGUACAGAAGAGGAGAGUGGAAUUCCACGUGUAGCGGUGAAAUGCGUAGAUAUGUGGAGGAACACCAGUGGCGAAGGCGACUCUCUGGUCUGUAACUGACGCUGAGGCGCGAAAGCGUGAGGAGCAAACAGGAUUAGAUACCCUGGUAGUCCACGCCGUAAACGAUGAGUG
rnacentral:rRNA from 2 species